AUGUAAAUUCCUACAACACAUCAUUAAUAUACCAGAUCCCAUUAGAACUCUAUAGUUAAGCGUGCUCGGGAUAGAGUAGUACUGGGAUGGGUGACCACCUGGGAAAUCCUAGUAUUUUACAUG
rnacentral:rRNA from 1 species